AACGGGGGGGGCGAGCGUCGUCCGGAUUUAUUGGGUUUAAAGGGUGCGUAGGUGGCUAAUUAAGUCGGUGGUGAAAUACAGCCGCUCAACGGUUGAGGUGCCAUUGAUACUGACUAGCUUGAAAUAAUUGGAGGCUGCCGGAAUGGAUGGUGUAGCGGUGAAAUGCAUAGAUAUCAUCCAGAACACCGAUUGCGAGGGCAGGUGGCUACGAUUUGUUUGACACUGAGGCACGAAAGCAUGGGGAGCAAACAGG
rnacentral:rRNA from 1 species